GACGAACGCUGGCGGCGUGCUUAACACAUGCAAGUCGAACGGAAAGGCCCUGCUUUUGUGGGGUGCUCGAGUGGCGAACGGGUGAGUAACACGUGAGUAACCUGCCCUUGACUUUGGGAUAACUUCAGGAAACUGGGGCUAAUACCGGAUAGGAGCUCCUGCUGCAUGGUGGGGGUUGGAAAGUUUCGGCGGUUGGGGAUGGACUCGCGGCUUAUCAGCUUGUUGGUGGGGUAGUGGCUUACCAAGGCUUUGACGGGUAGCCGGCCUGAGAGGGUGACCGGCCACAUUGGGACUGAGAUACGGCCCAGACUCCUACGGGAGGCAGCAGUGGGGAAUAUUGCACAAUGGGCGGAAGCCUGAUGCAGCAACGCCGCAUGCGGGAUGACGGCCUUCGGGUUGUAAACCGCUUUCGCCUGUGACGAAGAGUGAGUGACGGUAAUGGGUAAAGAAGCACCGGCUAACUACGUG
rnacentral:rRNA from 1 species